rnacentral:piRNA from 1 species
UCCACUACUUCUGUUGGUGUUGGGCGUGU